UUUUUUCUAAGAAUGUUUACAGUGGAGGACUGAAAGCCUUUUCUGCUGAAGAUGGCAGUUCAAAUUAGAAAUAAGACAAAUCUACAUUGUCAUUCACGUCAGUGAAGGACAAUGGCAUCUGUUAAGGAGCUGCUUGUGAACUCAAUGAAGGAACUGCUAGAAGCUGUCCUGAAGGAGUUUCAGCGGCACUUACAGAGUGAUCAUGAGUCUGCUUCAAGAUUUGAAAUGAAGAAUGUAGAUGUAUUAAAUACAGUGGAUAAGAUGUUAGUUUGUUUUUGACCAGAAGAAGCUGUGAAGAUCACCGUGAACAUUCUGAGGAAGAUCAAUCAGAAACCUCAGGCUGAACAGUUAGAGAACAACUGGAUCAACUGCAGAGGACAGUAAAGCUAAUCUUACUGAUUAUAGAGAGAUCAGCCUCAGACUGAAGAACGAAUUACAACAGGACUACAAGCAGAUAUUAGUUGGAUAUAUGAAGACAGUGAAAAGUUUGUGAUGAAAAGGCAUAUGCAUUUGUACGAGUCCCCCUCGUAUUUUCAGUAUUUCAAUGAAACACACAACACAAUUUACUAAAGUUGUACAUUUGCACCAUUUACCACCAACAAAGCAUGCAUUGACCCAUUCAUUUUAUGCGUGAUAUGGAUGCAGUUGCUGCUGCCAAGAGGGGGAACUGCAGAGAACAGAGAGCAUGUGGUAGAAGAGAGAGAAUUAUUUUCACUUGUAUUAAUUUAUUUGGAAUGCCAGAGGAUUGGCAUGGCCUUACUAAGUGUCUAUAUGUUAUUGAUUAUUGAUUAUUGAUGAUUAUUUGGAGUGAGCACUGGGAGCUGCUUUCUGAUGGACUGAAGAGUCUGAA